rnacentral:pre_miRNA from 1 species
AGUAGAAUUGCUUGGUCAUAUGAUUAACUUUAUGUUUAACUUUUUGAGAAGCUGCCAAACUAUUUUCCAAAGUUGCUGUGCCAUUUUAUAUUCCCACCAGCAAU